rnacentral:rRNA from 1 species
AUUGAACGCUGGCGGCAGGCUUAACACAUGCAAGUCGAGCGGGGGAAGGUAGCUUGCUACCGGACCUAGCGGCGGACGGGUGAGUAAUGCUUAGGAAUCUGCCUAUUAGUGGGGGACAACAUCUCGAAAGGGAUGCUAAUACCGCAUACGUCCUACGGGAGAAAGCAGGGGAUCUUCGGACCUUGCGCUAAUAGAUGAGCCUAGGUCGGAUUAGCUAGUUGGUGGGGUAAAGGCCUACCAAGGCGACGAUCUGUAGCGGGUCUGAGAGGAUGAGCCGCCACACUGGGACUGAGACACGGCCCAGACUCCUACGGGAGGCAGCAGUGGGGAAUAUUGGACGAUGGGGUGAACCCUGAUCCAGCCAUUCCGCGUGUGUGAAGAAGGCCUUAUGGUUGUAAAGCACUUUAAGCGAGGAGGAGGCUACUUUAGUUAAUACCUAGAGAUAGUGGACGUUACUCGCAGAAUAAGCACCGGCUAACUCUGUGCCAGCCGCCGCAGUAA